rnacentral:pre_miRNA from 1 species
GUUUGCAGAUGUAGCAUCAUCAAGAUUCACAUAUUAUAAAGGCAUGAUGAUUAACGACCAUGGCCUUUUUGGAGGUGAGAAUCUUGAUGAUGCUGCAUUAGCAAUAAAC